GAUGAACGCUGGCGGCGUGCCUAAUACAUGCGAGUCGAGCGAACGGACGAGAAGCUUGCUUCUCUGAUGUUAGCGGCGGACGGGUGAGUAACACGUGGAUAACCUACCUAUAAGACUGGGAUAACUUCGGGAAACCGGAGCUAAUACCGGAUAAUAUUUUGAACCGCAUGGUUCAAAAGUGAAAGGCGGUCUUGCUGUCACUUAUAGAUGGAUCCGCGCUGCAUUAGCUAGUUGGUAAGGUAACGGCUUACCAAGGCAACGAUGCAUAGCCGACCUGAGAGGGUGAUCGGCCACACUGGAACUGAGACACGGUCCAGACUCCUACGGGAGGCAGCAGUAGGGAAUCUUCCGCAAUGGGCGAAAGCCUGACGGAGCAACGCCGCGUGAGUGAUGAAGGUCUUCGGAUCGUAAAACUCUGUUAUUAGGGAAGAACAUAUGUGUAAGUAACUGUGCACAUCUUGACGGUACCUAAUCAGAAAGCCACGGCUAACUACGU
rnacentral:rRNA from 1 species